UACGAAGGGGGCUAGCGUUGCUCGGAAUUACUGGGCGUAAAGCGCACGUAGGCGGCUUUCUAAGUCGGGGGUGAAAUCCUGGAGCUCAACUCCAGAACUGCCUUCGAUACUGGAAGCUUGAGUCCGGGAGAGGUGAGUGGAACUGCGAGUGUAGAGGUGAAAUUCGUAGAUAUUCGCAAGAACACCAGUGGCGAAGGCGGCUCACUGGCCCGGUACUGACGCUGAGGUGCGAGAGCGUGGGGAGCGAACCGG
rnacentral:rRNA from 1 species